CAUUACUCAAUGCUCAUCAAGAUAAGUGUAUUCUGCCUUUCAUGAAGGGACAUCUUCCCCACGAAAACAUGCCUCUCUCCAAGGACCUCCUCCACCCCUCCCCAGGAGAGGAGGAGAGGAAGCGGAAGAAGAAGUGCCUGACUACGUAACUGGCUCCAAAGAAGCAGAUUUAGGGGGUGCAAAGAGUCUGGCCCAUGGAGUCCUAUGUUGGGAGAGGCUUCUGGAACUGCGACAUGAAGAUGGAGGGCUCCACUCUGCCUUCGUGGCCUCUGUAACAACUAGAGGCAACUAUCCAUGGCUGUUUCCGCAGCCAUCAUAUGGUACCCACUUCACCAGUUGUUGUGACCUUGACAUUAGCUCAGUGGCAUGUAUGAACCAACCCUCAUGGAAGGAAUAUUAAACCACUAGAGAAUGCUGAAGUGGAAGGACCUGGACAGCCAGAGAAACAUUUCAAGGUCAUCUGGGGCCUUCAAGGUUUUAAGACAGAUGGCGGAAAACAAACGUCUUUGGAGAAGAACCGAAGGGGACAGGUUAAAAGCGCUCUGACGUGCACACCAUGUGACAGGCCUCCUGCUAUAAGCCGAGGAAAGGUCCGCCCUCUCCUGGACUCAGCCCUCGCCUCGCCGAGCUCGGUCCCUAGACUCUCACCCGUCCCGCACCGUCCCGGGCGCCCGACACUCUGACUUGCUCGCCCGGGGCCUCGCCACCCCCUCCUCACUGAUCGUGCGAGGCCCCGCUCCGCAAGGGGAAGGUCAAGUCCCCCCGCCUGGGACCGGUGCGCGCGGAGUCCAGCGAGUGCAGAGACCUUGCGGCUCUCGCGGCGGCGCAGGAGUUACAAAGUCGCGGCGCAAAAAGCCUCUGCCGCAGCCCGGCAGCUCCCGCGCAGCUCCAGCGGCGGCGGCGCCCCCAGCGUGGCGCCCCCGUGCCGGGCCCGCCGCCCGGGACCCGGGCUGGGGCGCGGCGGGAGCCCGGAGCCCGGCGCCCCUAUGCGCCGCCUCGCCGCCGCCGCGCUACAGCUAUGACCCUGAGCACGGAGAUGUCCGAUGCCUCCGGCCUCGCGGAGGAGACAGACAUCGACGUGGUAGGGGAGGGCGAGGACGAAGACGACGAGGAAGAGGACGACGACGAGGGCAGCGGCGGCGUGUCCCGCCUGGCGGUCCCCGCGCAGCGGCGGCGGCGGCGGCGCUCCUACGCCGGAGAGGACGAGCUGGAGGACCUGGAGGAGGACGACGACGACGACGAUGACAUCCUGCUGGCCCCGCGCUCAGUGGCCUCCCCGGCGCCCCCGGGCCCAGCCCCAGUGGCGGGGGCCGGGGCCGGCGGGGGCGGCGGCGCGGGCUCGGGCGCGGGCGGCGGCGGCGGCGGCGGCGGGACCGCGGGCGGCGGCGCCAAGAACCCCCUGGUGAAGCCGCCCUACUCGUACAUCGCGCUCAUCACCAUGGCCAUCCUGCAGAGCCCCAAGAAGCGGCUGACGCUGAGCGAGAUCUGCGAGUUCAUCAGCGGCCGCUUCCCCUACUACCGGGAGAAGUUCCCCGCCUGGCAGAACAGCAUCCGCCACAACCUCUCGCUCAACGACUGCUUCGUCAAGAUCCCCCGCGAGCCCGGCAACCCCGGCAAAGGCAACUACUGGACGCUGGACCCCGAGUCCGCCGACAUGUUCGACAACGGCAGCUUCCUGCGCCGGAGGAAGCGCUUCAAGCGGCAGCCGCUGCUCCCGCCCAACGCCGCGGCCGCCGAGUCGCUGCUGCUGCGCAGCGCAGGGGGCGCGGCGGGCGCGGGCGACCCCGCGGCGGCCGCGGCGCUCUUCCCGCCCGCGCCCCCGCCGCCCCCGCACGCCUACGGCUACGGCCCCUACGGCUGCGGCUACGGCCUGCAGCUGCCGCCCUACGCGCCGCCCUCGGCCCUCUUCGCCGCCGCCGCGGCUGCCGCCGCCGCCGCCGCCUUCCACCCGCACUCGCCCCCGCCGCCCCCGCCGCCCCCGCCGCCGCACGGCGCGGCCGCGGAGCUGGCCCGGACCGCCUUCGGCUACCGGCCGCACCCGCUCGGCGCCGCCCUGCCCGCCCCCCUGCAGGCCUCGGCUGCCAAGGCCGGCGGCCCGGGCGCCUCGGCGCUGGCGCGCUCGCCCUUCUCCAUCGAGAGCAUCAUCGGAGGCAGCCUGGGCCCGGCCGCCGCCGCCGCCGCCGCGCAAGCAGCCGUCGCCGUGCAGGCCUCGCCUUCACCCUCUGCGGGGACCCCGUCCGCGCCCGCGCCGGGAUCCGGCGGCGGCGGCGGCGGCGGCGGCGGCGGCGGCUGCGCGUCUCAGGCGGCCGUAGGCCCGGCCGCCGCGCUCACCCGCUCCCUCGUGGCCGCCGCGGCCGCCGCCGCCUCCUCGGUCUCCUCGUCCGCCGCGCUGGGGACUCUGCACCAAGGGACUGCCCUGUCCAGUGUCGAGAACUUUACUGCUAGGAUUUCAAAUUGUUAAUAACGCUAUGUUAGCGCGCUUGGGAAAGAGAAGCACGGCUAAGAGAGAGGACUUUGGAACCGAGAACGUCCAGAUGCCACAGCUGCCCGGGGUGGAGACGAGUUAGCAGGCGGAACCCAGACGGCCCAGGCACCGCUCGCAUGCCUCGCAGCCUUCUGAUCUCAACAGCUGUUCCAGGACAAACAUUGCCCAAUAAGACUGCCCCCAUCACAGGAUGAAUCUAAAGGACUUAAUUGUGUUUCUUGAGUACGAUGGAGGGCUGUCCUGAGUCCUGUCGACAGUGAGGGGAUGUUGCACUGAUCAGACCAGGGCUGCUAUUUUUCUGGAUGAAUAGUGAAAUUUGACUCCUUAUUGCCUGCUUCAUCCGAACACAUCACAGAGCAAUUGCCAACAAGCGGUUCUUCUGGAUAAUGUCCUGGGCCUCAUUUUCCAUAUUAGAACACGUGGAAUGCUAAAAUCAAAAAGAUGCAUUUCAAAAUAUUGAACAGUGAAAUGUCAUGUUAUCUGUGAUUGCUUUGAAAUACUUCAGCAAGGGAAAAAAAGAAUGAAGCAAGAAGAAGCAAGGUCAAAGGCUGGGGGAGCUUGGAAGUUUAAGGAGCGAGGAAGAAGUGAGAAAGAGUUUUCCGGGAGCGUGUGAGAGAGGGACAGAUUUCCCUGGAGGAAUGCAACAAGAUUGUCAGGUAGCUUUAAUGGCCUAUCUCAGGUGGAAAGUGGUCAGUAAGUGUAGACGUUGCUUGGGGUGGGGGGUGACCUGCAGGCACUCACCUUCCCACAAUGACUGCAUGCAUUUCCAAUGUGCUGCCUCAGGGCUUUGUUCUGGCUGUGGGAGCACGCGCUGCCUACACACUGCGUAAUCAGGGUGCGCUAAAGACUUACUGUGCCUCUGAAGCAGUUCUCAACCAAUGAUGGACCGGGCUUUGGUGGAUAAAUACUCCAGCUCCCACAGCAUUCAGCUGGGGUAGUUUUGAGGCAUGUUCAACACAUUGGGCAGCAUUCCCCACUGGGAUUCCCCAGUUGUCCACAGAGAUAAUUUGCUUAUUAGUAAUCCUUUAUUGGUUUUCUUUCAUCCCCUGUCUUACUUCCUGACUCUUCUGAUGUUUCUUAGGAUCAUCUCCCAAAAAACCAUUUGUGCUGCAAUCCUUGUCUAAGAUAUUUCUCAUUGGAAAAUAAAAUCUAAGAGAGUAUGGCAUGUUUUACGUGCUUGAGAGCGGAUGAUCAGUGGGUGGAGAAUUGGAUUUAACAGGGUUGGGUUUUUUCCUGUUGAGCCCUAAGCAAGGUGAGGGGGGAAGGGAGUUAGGAUGUGCGACAGAUCAUGGGCUCUGUGCUGGGUAAGGAGGGAGGUGACGCUAUGUGGCAGAGGAAGGGUGGUCAGAAGGGAUGUAAGUUGGGGGUCCUGGUGGAUUCCAGGAGUUACUGUGUUGGAAGAUUAGAGGAGUGAGCUAGAAAUAUAGGAGUGGUGACUGGUAGUGGGGGAAGGUUGGAAUCGAGAAUAUGGGAGGUAUGCAUAGGACAAGAUGACUGGAAGAAAAGAAAUCAAAUAACUAAGGGGCCAGGACAUUGAAUCAGGGCAGGAGUGAUGUUGCAGAGAGAGAUCAUGAACCUGGGGCAGAAUCUUCAAGGAAUGACCUGGAGGCCAUAGUCUGAUGUUUGAAGAAGAGACAGUCCUCUGGAAAGGAAGAAGACAUCUGUCCCUGUGCCAGAACCCCUGAGGGAGCUGUAGGGAAGCAGUUCCCUCAGAGAGGAUUAGGCUCCCUCCUGAAGCAGAAGGUGAAGGAACGUUUAGAGGAGAAGUAGAGGAUUUGGGGGAUUCUCUUGAUGAUUGGCUGUGCAUUCCAGAGAGCACUGGGUGAAGGUGUCUGGGAGUGUGCAAGGUGGGGAGUUGGGGGGAUAUACUUGGCUCAAGCAGGAAUAUACCUGGCUCUGUGGGGAUGAGUCCUAGCGAGAGGGCCGUUGGGGACGUCUGGCUUCUUGGGGUGGGGGGUAAGCACCCAGGCAAUAAAUGUAGAUGUAGGCAUCAUGGGCUUCGCUCUGGCCAUCUCUCAGAUGUGGAGGUGAGACGAAGGGCUGUGGGGAAAGGAGGCAGGCCAUCAGGAAACACAAGGGACUCUGCAGGAAUGCCUCUAGCCCACUGAGCCCCAACUCGCCCUGUGGUUCAGCUUGUGGAGUUUAGGACCCAGUGAUGUUCUUGUCAGGAAAAGGAGGGAAAUCGAAGAAUCAAGGCAAAAGGCAAGCAUCUCUUAUCAGGGAAAAUUAGAAAGAGGCCUGUCAGAGGCACCUGGGUGGCUCAGUCAGUUGAGCCUCUGACUUGAGCUUAGAUCAUGAUCUCAUGCCUCGUGAGUUUGAACCCCACGUUGGGCUCGCUGCUGUCAGUGCAAGAGC